rnacentral:misc_RNA from 1 species
CAUUUUUCGAUUUUCCCCGACUUUCUCCGACGAUGCGAUGGCGAUAGCGAUGGUGAUUCCGGUGACUUAUGCUCCGACGAUUGACACGAUCAUUUGAGGCAGUCUCCUUUGUCCAGAUUUUCUUCUUCAACCUCUUUCUCUUGCUUACCCACCAAAUUCAUCAUCUUUGAAACUGCUUCAUCCCUUUCGCUUUGGUGAUUCUGAAGACUCCGCUUUAUACCCAUUUUGAUCUGUAAGUUUCGAUUUUCGAUCUCCUUUGUUAGUUUCCUGUCAUAUUUAGUUAGAAAUUGUUCCGAGCAUUGAAUUUUUGCGUACAUGAAUCUCGUUUUUAAUCUGUGUUUGUGUGAUCAAUUUGUGAAAUUUUGAAUUGGGUUUGUUUGCUCGAUGGUGUUUUAUUCAUUGGCUAAUUCCCCAACUGAUAACUUUCAAUUUCUGAGAUGGUGGUAGUUAUAAAACUAAGGCUAAAACACUAAUCUUUGCUCUUAAGUAGUGUUGGUUUGGAUUGAUUUUUGUUAGAAACAAUGAUUGGAGCAUAAGUUUUGUUACAUGUAGUUAUGGCACAUCGAACAAGGAGAUAUUAUCUUAUAGAAGAAUGCUUCCAAGUUAGUUGCUUUUGUGCUAUAUCUUGAGGACUUAAGGCUUAUGGUUAGUGUUCAUACUUUGUUUUCUUGUUUGGUCUAUAAUAGACACUACUGGUUGAAUUAGAAUCUGGAACCGACAUUAGUGUUUUUGUUGGCCAAUAUUUUGUUACUGCGAUGAAAUGAAAAAAUCACGAGCUGAUGAUGGCUAUGAUGAAGCUUAUUGGGUCUGAUGAUUUGGGUAUUAAUAAUAAACUCCUUAGAUUUAGUCAAACUAUGAUCCUACAGGACCUCCUCAUCUCUUAGCAACAAUGUAAUCUAUUACUAGGGAAGAACAAAAACAAUAAUCUAUUUUAUGGUGAUUGAUGCUUGAUUGGAACAAUUAGGCAAUGAUGCUUUCAGAUUUAGAAAGUCUUGAUUUUGGAUUUAGUCUUGGUGGACGUAAUAUGGUCGGCGUUAGGAGCAGUGGAGACUUUGAAUUUCAUGUGAUUAAAUUGUGAUUAUGCAACAUUUCCCUAUGCUCUUAAGACUGUGAUUAAACAAAACUUUACUAUAGUAGCGAAAAGCAACGGUCAGUUUCAUACAUGAUAGUUGAUGAUAACUGUGUGUGUGAAUGCAUGUAUAUUAAUAGCAUUCCGGUGAAUCAUAACUUCAUUCUACCACCAUUCAAGAUUUAGCAAAUACAGACACUAACUACGAAAUGAGAUUCAUUGGAUAUAACCAAAUUCCAAGCACUCCUAGUCCUCUUGGCUUUGGGACACUUUUAAGCUCUGUCAAUCUUUAUUUCUGUUUUGAACUGAACGUUUGUUGUCAUUGGCUGCAAAAGCUGUCAUUUGGCUAAUGAUCGAAUUGUGGAAACAAAGGAUAAUUAUAGAAUGGUUCAAAGAAGUUGGUUUCUUCUUGGUUUAAAUCUUGUUUCUUCAAUGUUCAAAUACUUUUGAUGUCUUUUAUUAAUUUUUAUGAAACAAUUUUUUUUUUCCUAAGAACCUAAUUAGAGAGACUAACCAUUGGACUAAGAAAACUUAAAAUAAAAAACACAAGUUCUCAUCUAACAAAAUUUCAAAUAAUUUAUACUAAAACAAUUGGUGAGAGCCCAUGGGGGACUCUCACCGUUGGAGAUGCUCUAAAGUUUCUUCUACGUUUGAAAUAAUACAUUCUGAUUUGUGGACUUCUCCUAUUCCUAGUCUAUCCGGAAUUCGUUACUAUGUUUUGUUUCUCGAUCAAUUCUCUCAUUUUCUAUGGAUUUAUCCUCUUCGCAAUAAGAGUGAUGUGUUCUCAAAAUUUCUGCAAUUUCAUACCUAUGUCAAAACACAAUUCGAGAAACACAUUAAAUCUCUACAGUGUGAUAAUGGUGGUGAGUAUAAAAACUCACAGUUUCAUGAUUUCUUUGCUAAACACGGGAUACAGUUUCGUUUUUCGUGUCCAUACACCUCUCAACAAAAUGGCAGAUUGGAACGCAUGAUACGAACCCAUCAACAAUGCUUUUUGCACUAUGCUGCUUCAAGCUCAUCUUCCCAAUACGUUUUGGGUAGAAGCUCUAAGGGCAUCUCCAAUAGUAAUCUCUAUAUUUUCCUCUAUUUAUAGAGAUGACUCUAUUUUAAAGACAUUGUGCUCCAAUGGUCACCUUUAAAAUAGAGUUUCCUCUGAAAUAGAGGAAAAAAUAGAGAUAUAUACUUUUUGUCUCUAUAAAUAGAGAUCUCUACAAUUCAUCUCUAUUUUUUCCUUUAUUUUUGAGGAAACUCUAUUUUAGAGGUGACCACUGGAGCACAAUGCGUCUAAAAUAGAGUUCCCUCUAAAAUAGAGAAAAAUAUAGAGGUGAUCAUUGGAGAUGGUCUAAAUAAUGCAGUUCACAUUCUCAAUCUCCUUCCAUCCACUUCUAUCGAUAACAAAAUUCAUUUCUCAGUGUUAUUCAACAAAACACCAUCUUACUCUCAUCUUAGAGUUUUUGGUUCUCUUUGUUAUCCUCACACAAAUAAUCAAAACAAACUUGAUCCAAGGUCAUCACCAUCAGCUUUCCUAAGUUAUCCUCUACUUGACUCAGGGUAUAGAUGUUUUGAUUUAAAAACACGGAAAAUUGUGAUAUCUCGUCAUGUCACAUUUUAAGAGGAUAUCUUCCCUUACCAAAUCACCAAUGCUAAAAUCGACUCUGCUUAUGACUUUCUUGAAGCGGAUACAGAGCCUUCUCAAAUUCAAAAGCAGCUUUUGCUUACACCUUCUCUUCCAGCGACAAAUGAAACAGAUCUAGUUUUGACUGCUCUUGCUCCUCAUGUAGCGACUCAACCACCACCACAGCGUAUGGUGACUAGAUCGCAGCAGGGCAUUCGUAAACCAAAGAAAAUUCUCUCACUAAAUGCUCAAACACUUUCCCAAAUUCCAAAGGGUUAUAAGCAAGCUCUAAUGGAUCCGAAUUGGAAUCCUUCAAUGACAGAAGAGUAUGAUGCUUUGAUUAAGACUUACACUUGGAGUUUAGUGCCUAAACCUGCAGGUACAAACAUCAUCAAUUCGAUUUGGUUGUACAAGCACAAGUUUAAUGCUGACGGCUCACUCUCUAGAUAGAAAUUCAGACUUGUCUCUAAUGGUAAAUUUUUGGAACAAGGAGUCAAUUUUGAUGAAACGUUUAGCCCAGUGGUUAAGCCUGCUACAAUUCGUGCAGUAUUGAACUUUGCGGUUGAACGACAUUGCCUGGUGCAUCAGUUGGAUGUACAAAACGCCUUUUUGCAUGGAGAGCUUGAAGAAACAGUUACAUGUAUCCACCAGCAGGGUUUGUUGACAAUAGGAAUCCGGGUUAUGUAUGCAAGCUAAAUAAGGCGUUGUAUGGCCUGAAACAAGCACCACGGGCUUGGAAUGCUCGGUUUGUAGCUUAUGUUAAAAGAUGGGUUUUGUGCAGAGUAAAUGUGAUGCUUCUCUAUUUGUGUACAAACACGGGCAAGACAAGGCCUACUUGUUGCUCUAUGUCGAUGACAUAAUGCUUACAACAUCCUCAUCCAGAUUCCUUGACUCCAUAGUCGACAAACUCAAAACGGAAUUCCCAAUGUUAGACACAGGGAAAUACACCUUCAUGCACUCUGACGUAUCUUCCGCUAUAUCAAGGGGUCUCCUUCUUAAGGUCUUAGUAUUACUAAGUCUCCAUCAACGAAAUUGGUCGCUUAUUCGGAUGCGGACUGGGCUGGGUGUCCAAACACGAGGCGUUCAACUUCAGGGUACUAUGAUUUCCUUGGUGAUACUCUAAUCUCUUGGUCGUCUAAGCGACAAGGCUCGGUUUCAAGAUCAAGUGCAGAAGCAGAAUAAAAGGCAGAGGCAAACGCGGUGGCAGAGACUUGUUGGAUACGGAACUUAUUGUUCGAGUUACAUUAUCCGUUAUCGCAGGCAAUGUUGGUGUUUUGUGACAAUGUGAGUGUCGUAUAUCUCUCUACCAAUCUUGUCAAGCAUCAGCGAACCAUGCAUGUUGAAAUAGACAUACACUUUGUGCGGGAGAAGGUCGCAAAAGGCGAGGUUCGUGUCAUUCACAUUCUUGCAACACAUCAAUACGCAUACAUUUUCACUAAGGGCCACAUUACUUCCCUGUUCAAUCAAUUCAAGUCAAGCCUUGACGUCAUUACAAGACCGAUGCUAAGACUGCGGGAGGGUAUCAGGAGAUAGGAUAUUCUUCUCAAUAUUCUUCUCAAUAUGUUUGUUAUAAGUUUAGUUACGACUUUGUUAAUAUCCUCAUGUACCUAGAAUGUAGGAAAGAUCUGUACUCUUGUAACUAAAUCGUGUAUAUAUUCACUCUAAUGCAAAGCUAUCUUCUCAAGGAGACUUACACAAUCUUACAGAAUCAGACAUCAAAAAUGAUGGUGGAUUUUUGAUAGAUGCUCCUUCUUUGCAGCUCUUGGAGAUUCAAGAAUAUCCAGAUGGGUUUUGUGGCAUUGAGCAUAGUAUGCCUAAGAUUGAAACCGCAAAUGUUUAUGUUACUCAUACUGAGCAGAUUCUUUCUUCUCUUACUUCAAUCAAGUAACUCGGAUUACGUUUAACGACAUCAAAGGUAAUUAUUAUUAGUUCUACUCUAUAUACUUAUUUAAGAAGAUUUUAUCAUUGUUAUAUUGGAUAAUAAACUCCCUUGACUGAAUUAUUAUGAGAGACACACAUAUAUAGAGAUAUAUAGAGAUACAAAGAGUUCUAGAAAGUUAUAUCUAAGGGUAUGUCAUGGCGUUAUUCCAAUGACUAUUCUUGGCCGCUUGAAUAUGCGAUAUUAGAGCGGGAGAAAUAGUGAUAUCAGUGUGAAGACAAAAAUGUUUUUUUGAUUUGAAGAUACAUUACUACGAUUUUGUAUAGUAUUAGUGGAAGUAGAAUUAGAAGUAGAAGUAUGAGAAGGAGGUACCAUAGGGCUUCUUUGUUAUCACGAAACAGAUUUUUGAUUGCAGACCAAAGGUCAUGAAUGGAGCACUUCGGUUUGAGGACGAUCUCAAGUAUGGACUCGGUAAUUGUCCCAUAGAUCCACAUUUUGACAAGAUCAUUGUGCUCUUUCCAAGAUUUUUCAGUUUCCGGCGUGGAGGAGGAAGUGUUGUCGAUGUGCCAAUAUAUUAGGGGCUGGUUUGGCUCGGUUCUCUUUAGUUACUCUUGGUAUAAUCAUCUACGAAUAUACUCUAACAGAUGCAUAUAUUCUUUGUAACUAGAAUUAGAUAGAUCUUCCUAGAUUCACGCUUUCGGUUGUACAUUGACUCUAUAUAUGUUGUAUGCUGUUCAUUGUGAUCAAUAACACGAAUCCAUUUGAUCUCUGAAAUCCUUUACAAGAACACCAAAACUGCUACUAUGCAUUUCAAAAAGCUCUCUCCAUG